CUGGUGAUCAACUCUUUCUUCGUGAGAUAACUUCCUUGGGAUAGCUCUUUUACCUGGAUCAACUAGGUCAUCGAUUAUUUUUGUCUGGAUGGGCUCGGUCAUCAGCUACUUACCCUGGUCAACUCGGUCAUCAAUUAAUUUCCCUGGUAAUCAGCUUAUUUUCCCUGGACUAAUUCAGCCAUCAACUAUUUACCCCUGGACCGACUCAGUCAUCUACCAUUUACCCUGGACUAACUUGCUUCUGUCAUCAACUCAUCUAACUUGCAUAUCUAUUAGCUUAGUCAUCAACUCAGUUCACUGGGCUGGCUUGACAAUUAAUUCAUUUCCUCUGGACUGACUUGGCUAUCAACUGGACUAACUGGACUGGUUCGGUAAUUCAGUUUUCCUGGACUGACUCGGUCAUCGACUAUUUAUCCCUGGAAUGAUUAGGUCAUCAGCUAUUUACCUCUGGACUAAGUCCGUCAUCAGCUAUUUACUCUGGUUUACUCGUGGGUAUGGACUGGUUCGGAAAUCAACUCAUUUUCCCUGCACUGACUCUGUAAUUAAUCUAUUGUUUCUCCUGGGAUCGCCUGUUUUUCCCUGGCUCAGUUCUCAACUGUCUCCCCUGGGCUAACUGGACAUUGUUUUCCUUGGAGUGACUAAGUGGGUCAUCAUCUGUUUCCACAGACUCAGCGGGGUCACUCCUUACAGGCCAUCUCAUCAUCCACUGUUUACCGUGGAGUGAUUUGUUUGCAGCCCGUUUUCACGCAGCGGAGGGGAUUUCCGUCUUUCCCUCAUCUGAUCCUGUCCCUGAACGGACUCGGUCAUCCACUGUGAGCCCUGGACUGACUCUGUUAUCCACUGCUCUUCCUGGGCGGAGGCUGAUGACGCUUCACCCUACUGGUUCUGGUUCUUAAAAGCGGGCUUCCGGGAACUUAAAACAAGGUGGUUCUAUAUUCACGUGGAUGAAAACACAGAGCGGUACCUGAGUUUCCACUCAGAGGAGUUAUCCCAGUUUGCAUCCCAACCAAGAACAUACAGAGGUCUCUCCAAAGCCUGUGCGUUGUCCCCAAUCUUAAUUUUUUCCCGGUGUGACAGGGAUUUACGGGGACGUAAGACCGUGGGCCUCGACGCAAAGGACAAAGUUAGUGUCUUUAAUCUGCAUUCGGGGAAUUCUCCAUCCCGCACCGGCUGAGUCCAGAGAAACUGGAAAACGGAAAAAGAGGACUCUAGGAAAUUCCCAAUAGGGAACAAUGCGUCUGCUUCAGAGUGUCAACGUGAAAAGCUGCCAUCAGCAAGGAGAAUCUUCCUAAAACAGGCACAAAUGAUGGCUUCAUGGUUAAAGUAAGAGUGGAUAAGAAGGGCCGAAGAAGCUGUCGAGGCUCUCUUGAAGACGUCCGAUGUGCCAACGGUACGUUGACAUCGAAAAUCCAUCCACCUGCGUCCUCCAUGAGUGGAGUCAUCUAAGAGAUCUCACCACCAUAAGGUACCUCCAUAUUUAUGCCCUUAAGAACGGGCACAGUCUAUGAAGGAGAGCUUUGCUUUGCAAAGGUAAUGUUUUGCUAGGUGCCGUCUUCACGAUGUCUUAAUGCAUCAGGUCAGCAGUAAUGAGACAGGAUGAUACGAGGGCAGCAUCUUAAUGAAUGACUGCAGCCUAAUCUGGUAUUUGCAGAAGUGCCUUUUUCUCAGGUGUGGAACCCGGGUUAACCCUCGCUCUUCCUGUCCCUCCACCACACUUUCCGACACUCAGGAAGCUCUCCAGUAGGAUACGUGGCAAUUAUGAGGAGCUGAUGGACACUUUAGAAGGCUUAGGGUGUGGGGCAUCUUUUCCAAGGAAAGAUUGAAAGCAAGACCGUUAAUGUCAGUAAACACUCUUCUUGCUGUGAGCACCUCAUUUUCUCCUCAAAAAUUGCCAACCAAUCUCUGUAAUAAAUGACAUUUAAUUUUCAGAUCCUCCACCAAUGCAUACCAGCCUACAUUAGCUUCAUCACAUCCUCCUCUGGAUCAUCCAUUAUUUUGGAGAAUCCAUAUUUGUGGAGGAACCUUCAGUGCCUUUCAGGAAGAGCAAGACGCCUGUUUGAAAAGGCAACAUGCGGAGUUCC